UGGGGAAUCUUGCACAAUGGAGGAAACUCUGAUGCAGCGACGCCGCGUGAGCGAUGAAGCCCUUCGGGGUGUAAAGCUCUUUCGACGGGAACGAUAAUGACGGUACCCGGAGAAGAAGCUGCGGCUAACUACGUGCCAGCAGCCGCGGUAAUACGUAGGCAGCAAACGUUGUUCGGAAUUACUGGGCGUAAAGAGUGUGUAGGCGGUUUUGCAAGUUUGGUGUGAAAUCUCCCGGCUUAACUGGGAGGGUGCGCCGAAAACUGCAAGGCUCGAGUACUGGAGAGGAAAGCGGAAUUCCUGGUGUAGCGGUGAAAUGCGUAGAUAUCAGGAGGAACACCGGUGGUGUAGACGGCUUUCUGGACAGUCACUGACGCUGAGACACGAAAGCGUGGGGAGCAAAC
rnacentral:rRNA from 1 species